rnacentral:rRNA from 1 species
AUUGAACGCUGGCGGCAGGCCUAACACAUGCAAGUCGAACGAGUGGCGGACGGGUGAGUAAUGUCUGGGAAACUGCCCGAUGGAGGGGGAUAACUACUGGAAACGGUAGCUAAUACCGCAUACCAUCGGAUGUGCCCAGAUGGGAUUAGCUAGUAGGUGGGGGAACGGCGCACCUAGGCGACGCUCCCUAGCUGGUCUGAGAGGAUGACCGGCCACACUGCAACUGAGAAACGGUCCAGACUCCUACGGGAGGCAGCAGUGGGGAAUAUUGCACAAUGGGCGCAAGCCUGAGGCAGCCAUGCCGCGUGUAUGAAGAAGGCCUGCGGGUUGUAAAGUACUUUCAGCGAGGAGGCGUUACUCGCAGAAGAAGCACCGGCUAACUCCGUGCCAGCCGCCGCGGUAAUAC